AGGCGGGGCCCGUGGAGGAGGACAGCCGCCGCCUCUUCCCUGCCUCCCCAUCUCGCCCGAAACAUCGCUCCUGGAGCCCUUCCCAGUCCACGGUGGAGCCCCCAUCCCAGCUCCGCAUCCGAGAUCCGCGACAAGGGAGGGGUGGAUCGAUGAUGCUGCAGCAAAGAGGAACGAGGUUGGGCAGUGGUGAGGCAUCGGCACCAGAGAUGCAGAUCUGCGGCGGAGCGGGAUCGGUGACGAGGAUGACCUGUGACUCCUCAUGGCAAAGCUUGAUGGAUUUAUGCCUUUCAGAGGGGGGCAUGGCGCCUCAGCUCCGCCACCGAUGACAACCUCGGCGGCAGCAGCACGCGCAGUGCCGACAUGGUCAAGGUGCGGCAGUAUGGGAAGACGUGCAAGGAGCUCACCGGCAUGUUCAUGACACAGGAGUUGGCCAUGCACUCUGGCUCUGUAUGGUGCAUUAACUUCAGCUUGGCUGGACGGUACCUUGCGAGCACCGGCGAGGACCGUGUGAUCCAUGUCUGGGAGGUCUCCGAGGGUGAGAGAAAGGGGGAGCUGCUCGGGGAAGGUGCGGUUUCAGAGGAGAGUGGUAGCGGAGGCAGCCUGUUUGUGGCAGUUGCUGGAAAUGGAUCGCGGUGGUGGCAAUGUCGCCGCUCAGCAGUGCAAACAAGGGAUAUGUGGAGAAGAAGAGGAGGCCACGGGUGCAGAGCAGCCGCAAGUCUGUCGGUUCUGAUCAUCUGGUUGUGCCCGAAUGCGUGUUUGGGUUCAGAGAUAAGCCAUUUUGCUCGCCCCUGGGGCACACCGCUGAUGUUCUUGAUCUACAAGAUGCUAAUCGCUUCAGCUUUGGGUUAACUUGUUGGCUGGCUCCUGAAACUGAGCACAUGUUGGUAUUUCAUUGUUGUACUGGUGUAUGCAAGGGUUAUUUUCGUGCAGAGGUUUUGAACUGUGAUUUCCUUCUCUUUCAAGCCUAAAGCAUUCAACUGAUAAUUUCAGGCAGGCAUUUCAAUUUUCUAUCAUGCUUCUAGAUAUCAAACGUGGUUGAGAAAGUUCCAUUUUUAAGGGGCUGGAGCUCCAUGGCUUACAGAUCUAACGACCCCUGAUGCUCUUUGCAUAUUUCCAAUGAUAACAUCACUGUUCGCCAUGCUUCCCUUUGAGGUAUGUGUUCAAUUCUUUUUACCUAAAUGUAUGUUUGUUCUUGGGCUACAAAAUUUGAGAUGCCAUUUAUUGCAUCCUUCAACUAUUUUUCCUGCUGAACCUGCCGGCUCGACCCAGGAGCGGCAGGUGCAGAUGCGUGUGCGAGGAGCGCCGUCGGUCGACCGGCGUUCUUUCUUCGUCAGGAAGGGUGCAGCCUGCUACUCAAGCCCCUCUCCUUCGCUCCUUGAAUAGCAGGAGAGGCAUGGGCACCACCACACUGGAGAGAUGGACGAGGACAUGAAGCUUUCGUGGAGAGGACGAGGUGGCCGCCGCUGCACCCCCAUGCCGCGGACGCCGAGAUUCCCAUCCUCUCUGCCCUUGAUAACCACUUCGGCGGCGCCAUGAACGGCACAAUCGCCUCUUCUCGGCAGGCGCAGACCGCAUGGUCGUCUUCCUCUCCGGCUUCUUCUACACCAUCAGACUCAGACCCUCUCCCGCUCCCUCUCCCUCUGCAUCUCUGUAAAAAUAUGCUUAGGUCAACUAGGAGAUGAUGCAAGCCAAGGCGCUCACACCGAUUUAAGAUGGUGUGGGUGAUCAAUAGAAGACAAAUGAAUACACUGAUGGAAGGCCAUGUCAAAAUGACAGCUGUUAAACAAAGGUAGACACAGCCAGUGAUACCAGCGGUGGCCAAUUACCCAUGACGAACCACUGCGUCAGAAGCACAAUAAGCCAUACGAGUAUAUUCAUCGCCCACGCAAAGCAAACUCAAUCCAAAAGUUCAAAGGCAAGAAAAUCCAUGUAAAGCCUAGAAAGUACAUUCUCCGUGGUGAGCCUUGCAUCCACUACUUAGAUGAGUUUACUCACCACAUUGUGUGGGGCAACCCAGUUAAGCUCUACAACCAUAAUUACUUUAGCGUUCCCCUUUCUAUGGGUUCCCUUUUCCCACACAUGGAUGCUGACCAUGGUGAACUGCCAAUCACUAUUGGAGACGGAACUACGCUGUCACGACCCCCUUUAUCAAGGGUGUUGACAAAAGGGCCACCAUCACUAAAGGCUGGAGUGACUUCUUCCGUCAGGCACACAUGAACGAAGGGCAAGUAUAUGCUUUCGCCUUCAAAUGCACUUCCAAGGGACUCUGCCGGAUCAUCUACUCAAUAUAAGCAAGUUGCAAGAGCCCCUUGUUAUAUAACUUAGUAUUCUUAGUAUUAGUACAGAUGCCUAUCAAGACUUCCGUGUUUAUCAUCUUUUUAGAUCUUAUGUAAUCCCCUAAGACCAUCCUGUGCAUUUAGCUAUCGGUUAUUUGCCGCUUAGACUGCUAUGUGGUAUGCUUUUGAAACAACCUUGAUGGAAGAAAUAUAUGCUUUCACCUUUAAGUGCACAUCCAAAGGCCUUUGCAUGAUUGUCUAUCCAAUCUAAACAGAUCAAAAAAGUCCUUUCCUACA